rnacentral:lncRNA from 1 species
AAAAAAUAAAAAUAAAAAUUUAUAUUCCACUAAACUGGAAAAAAAUCUGAAAGAAACAGGAUGAGUUUCUGGAUGUGAAUGACCUGUCAAAGUGAAACCAAGACAGGAAAAAAAAAGAUUUACACAGAUCUGUAGCAACCAGCCAGAUAGAACUAGAAGCAGUAAUUAAAAAUUCCCCAACUAAAAAAAGCCCAGGCCAGAUGGAUUCAGUGCAGGAUUCUACCAGCCUUUCAAAGAACACACAGCAGCGUUCCUCAAACUGUAAUGUAAAAUAUGAAAGAGGGAGCAUUUCUAGAGUCUUCAGCCAGGGUGCCCUGCAAAGCCGCCCUUGUGUCCUCUCCCAACAACUUUGACUCAAGUUCCUCGAGACAGGCUGUUGUCUGACAGAGUCUGUCUAGGACCCAGGAGAGCCACCACAGCCAAGGGAAGACAGGGUUGGAACUUACUGCAACACUCACCUCCAGAGAACCCCGCUGGCUGCAGAAACUCUCAGUCUAGAAGUUCUACAGGACUGAACAUGGUAAUCCCAGGGACAGCCACCACUGAUGGGCUUCACACUCAAAAGACCAGGCAAGAAGCCACAUUUGUGACUGAUGACAUCCAGUGAACCAGAAGGGCAGGGGAAUUAUACAGAACCCUGUGGCUGUAUCCCAGGACAGGGUGUGUAAUGGCUAUUCCUGGUUGUCAACUUGACUAUAUCUGGAAUGGACUACAAUCCAGAAUUGGAAGACACACCUGUGAACCAGAUCUUGAGGCUGGAAGAUACAAGUGUCUGACCUGGAUCUUGGCAUGGAGAUCUUGAGGCAUAGUGGCCAUGAAAAGCUUAGGCCCAGACAAGGUGGUACAUGCCUUUAAUCCCAGGAGACUGUGGCAAGGAGGUCUCUGAGUUCAAGAUCAACCUGGGACAAAGCAAAUCCCAGAUCCGGGCAUUGUCGUGGUAUAUACCUUUAAUCUGGGCCACACUUUCUGCUGGAGGCCUAAACAAGGACAUUGGAAGAAGGAAGAUUCGCUCUUCUUCCCCUGCGUGCACUUACUAGCCAGCACAUCUGUCGGAACCUACUUCUACAGAAGACCAGCUGAAACACCCAGCCUCGUGGAACUGAGCAACUACUGGAUCCUUGGACUUCCCAUUCACAGCUGGCCAUUGUUAGGUUAGUCAGAAUGCAGCAGACUGUGUAAGUCAUCACAAUAAAUUCCGUCAGUAUAGAGAGACAUUCCAUAAAUUCUGUGACUCUGGACAACCUUGACUAAUACAGGGUAGAUGGCUGGAACUCACACAGAAUUUUCUUGUGCUUAAAGCAACCCACAGGCAGCCAGCAGGUGGUCAGCCUUCAGCCUUUGUAUUAAGACCCACCUCCUCACCCACUGUUGCCAGAUGAAUUGAACAACAGGGAAGAUAAUUCCAAUCACAAACCAAUGUGAGUUAUAUUUGAUGUGUUUCCCAUCUGAUAUCUGAGAGAUACUUAAACUAAUGUUUUUGUAUGUGAAAUUCAAAUUUGCCUGGGAUUAGAGUUGGGGUUCAUGUUUGCCAUGUAACAGGGCCUCAGAUCUUAGUCCAACCAACUCACGAUGGAAAUACCAUUCAGGCCAUAAAACUUGGAUGACAGGCAGAGUUUAAUGCCAAAACGAAAACAAAGACCUAAUCCAUCAAACCCCACAGUCCUGGAAAAGUGUCUAAAUGUACUAACCUUCCUUUUCAGCUUCUAUAGUCCUGCUUCUGGCUAACUGGUCUUGUUAACUGAAGUGUGCCAACCCAAGGCAUGGUUUUUGUGCUUAAAAGCUCACUCUGAGAAAGGCUCAGGGCUACACUGGGAACCCAAACACCCAGUGGAGUGCCAGCUGGCUAAUAGACUUUCCAUUGGCUUAAGCCCAUGUCUGAGCUUUCUUCUCUGGUGGACACCCCACAACAAGCCAUCCUAGUAGACCCGAGGCCUCCUCUAGCGGAUAGAAAGCGGAUCAGCUCCUUCCCACCUCCUCUAAGUCAUGUCCUGAGCUCAAGUCCACCUUUAUCAUAUCCCACACUGCUCACAAGGACUCACAGUUUCCCUUGAGGCCCAUCCUGUCGUGCUCCCUCAGGGUGCAGUUGAUGGAUGGGACCGCAGAGGUUCAUCAGCUGAAGCCAGAGAACUGCACACCUGACCCAGACUUGUGGCUGCAUCACAGUGCUAUCCCUGUGCCAGGCGGGGGGUGCGGAGGGAGCGGGUCACAAGAACAUCUGAGCCUGGAGUGACCUUUGACUUUUGAUGCCCGUGAGAGAGGAAGAAGUCACUUGUGCUCACACAAAGCUGGGGCUCUGUUUGUCAGGAGGGUUCAGUGGCCUCAGAAAAGGCUGUCUGGGAGCUUGCUACAGAGGAUCACAGCUCGCAUAUGGUAUGCUUGGUUUGCAGAAGCCGAUAGAUAGCCUUAAGCUUGUUCCUUUUCCUGCACACGCCCAGGCAUCUGGUUGUGAAGAACUUUUGUGCCCACUUGGGCCUGUUCCUCUUCACUCUCUCUUCUGCUGUCUUCCAUGAAGACUCUGGAUGCCUGCUAGUGGCUGCCCCAAUGCAGGGAGAGAUGGGAUUGGGGGAUGCAGGAUGAGGUUUAUACACCUCCCUUCUGCUUCCCAGACCCUGAGGCCACUCAGAAAAGAAUGGCCUGGUCUUCCCAGCUUACUUGGAUGUCUACCUCCCUUUCUUCCCUCCCAGAACCCCACGUUUCUCUGCCCAUGUGGAUUGGCUCUUUUCUUCUCUACAAAACAGCAUCUAUGACCCGGAGCUUCCCUGACUCCUGGGUUCUGGUGCCUCCAUUCUGCCUUUGUGGGGAAUGAUCUAAAGGUCUGCCAAAGACCAGCCUCAGCAGUCUGGCUAAUAGACUUUAGGCCACCAGAGUCUGAGGAAGGGGUGUCUGUGAGCAGCAAUAAAACGAACAACUCCAAGUCAAAUUGUGGGUUAUAAGCUUCCUGCAUUCUAGGUGAGCAUGCUCCCAACUGAGCCACAUUCCGGCUUCUAGUUGGGCAUUCAUAGGCUCUGUCCAGGAAGCAGAGACUCAGUAAGUCCAGUCCUCAGACCCCUGCAGGUGCUCAGCUCAGCACAGGGGGCAGAUGCUGAGCAACAGGAAAUACCAUCACAGUUGACUAUGGGCUCUGAGUACAACAUAGAGAGGGGCCAUUAUUCACAUUCAAUCCUGAGAUCCUCAGGGCUGGUGUCCCCUCCUCCCCGGGAAGUGGCUUUUGGACCAGAGCUCCAGGCAGUUGCUGUUCAGCAUUAUUUCUAGGCUCCAUCCCAUGACAGGCAUGUAAUGUCUGGCUUACUAUAAAAUGGGCUGUUUGGCUCCUCUGUGCUCUCUUACUCUCUGCCUCUUCUCUUCCCCUCUCCCCUUUCUCCAUGUGUUCCUGGUUAGCCUUCCAUCUCUCCUCUCUCUCUCUCUCUCUCUCUCUCUCUCUCUCUCUCUCUCUCUGUCUGUCUUUACUGUCUUCCCAUUCCCUAAAUAAACUCUAUUCCAUACUAUUGUAAGACUCUGGUGAGCCUUAGCUACCAGGGGCCCCCUGAGUAAACCACAUGGAGCCAGGAAUCUAUGCA